rnacentral:rRNA from 1 species
GAGGGGAUCUAUUUAUAGAGCUUUCGCUAUUAGAUGAGCCCGCGUCGGAUUAGCUAGUUGGUAAGGUAAUGGCUUACCAAGGCGACGAUCCCUAGCUGGUCUUAGAGGAUGACCAGCCACACUGGAACUGAGACACGGUCCAGACUCCUACGGGAGGCAGCAGUGGGGAAUAUUGCACAAUGGAGGAAACUCUGAUGCAGCCAUGCCGCGUGUGUGAAGAAGGCUUUCGGGUUGUAAAGCACUUUCAGUGGGGAGGAAAGGUUGCUGUUUAAUAGACAGUAGCUGUGACGUUACCCACAGAAGAAGCACCGGCUAACUCCGUGCCAGCAGCCGCGGUAAUACGGAGGGUGCGAGCGUUAAUCGGAAUUACUGGGCGUAAAGCGCGCGUAGGUGGUUAAUUAAGUCAGAUGUGAAAGCCCAGGGCUCAACCUUGGAACUGCAUUUGAAACUGGUUAACUAGAGUUUUGUAGAGGGUGGUAGAAUUUCAGGUGUAGCGGUGAAAUGCGUAGAGAUCUGAAGGAAUACCAGUGGCGAAGGCGGCCACCUGGACAAAGACUGACACUGAGGCGCGAAGGCGUGGGGAGCAAACGGGAUUAGAUACCCCGGUAGUCCACGCAGUAAACGAUGUCUAUUAGAAGUUUGUGGCUAUAUGCCGUGGGUUUCAAAGCUAACGCAUUAAAUAGACCGCCUGGGGAGUACGGCCGCAAGGUUAAAACUCAAAUGAAUUGACGGGGGCCCGCACAAGCGGUGGAGCAUGUGGUUUAAUUCGAUGCAACGCGAAGAACCUUACCAUCCCUUGACAUCCAGAGAAUCACCUAGAGAUAGAUGAGUGCCUUCGGGAACUCUGAGACAGGUGCUGCAUGGCUGUCGUCAGCUCGUGUUGUGAAAUGUUGGGUUAAGUCCCGCAACGAGCGCAACCCUUAUCCUUACUUGCCAGCGGGUUAUGCCGGGAACUUUAGGGAGACUGCCGGUGAUAAACCGGAGGAAGGUGGGGACGACGUCAAGUCAUCAUGGCCCUUACGGGAUGGGCUACACACGUGCUACAAUGGCAGAUACAAAGGGUUGCUAACCUGCGAGGGUAUGCGAAUCUCAUAAAGUCUGUCGUAGUCCGGAUCGGAGUCUGCAACUCGACUCCGUGAAGUUGGAAUCGCUAGUAAUCGUGGAUCAGAAUGCCACGGUGAAUACGUUCCCGGGCCUUGUACACACCG